GCCGCGUGUAUGAAGAAGGCCUUCGGGUUGUAAAGUACUUUCAGCGGGGAGGAAGGGAGUAAAGUUAAUACCUUUGCUCAUUGACGUUACCCGCAGAAGAAGCACCGGCUAACUCCGUGCCAGCAGCCGCGGUAAUACGGAGGGUGCAAGCGUUAAUCGGAAUUACUGGGCGUAAAGCGCACGCAGGCGGUUUGUUAAGUCAGAUGUGAAAUCCCCGGGCUCAACCUGGGAACUGCAUCUGAUACUGGCAAGCUUGAGUCUCGUAGAGGGGGGUAGAAUUCCAGGUGUAGCGGUGAAAUGCGUAGAGAUCUGGAGGAAUACCGGUGGCGAAGGCGGCCCCCUGGACGA
rnacentral:rRNA from 1 species